UCGCCUGUUUUUCAAAAACAUCGCUCUUAAUCAUUAAUAGUAGAAUCUGCCCGGUGACUUUAAACGGCCGCAGUACUUUAACUGUGCAAAGGUAGCAUAAUCACUUGUCUCCUAAUUAGAGGCUAGCAUGAACGAUCUGACGUAGGGCUUCCUGUCUCACUGGUUCAGUUAACUUACACUUGAGGUAAAAAUGCCUCACUCCUUCAAAAAGACGACAAGACCCUAUAAAAUUUUAUCUCUCUUUCCGAGCCCACAUCCAAGUCCUCUAAGACUCUAAGUGGGAUUUAACUGGGGCGGUUAAUUUUAUCUGAAACAAAACUCAAUCUGACACAGUGAGUGGCUCUUGUGAACAUCCUAAUAAAGAACAAAUUACUUUAGGGAUAACAGCAUAAUAGUCUUCAAGAGAUCAUAUCGACAAGACUGAUUAUGACCUCGAUGUUGAAUUGAAGUUCCAAAACAGAGCAGCCACUGUUUAAGGGAAGUCUGUUCGACUUUUGAUCCUUUACAUGAUUUGAGUCCAAAACCGGA
rnacentral:rRNA from 1 species